rnacentral:lncRNA from 1 species
GAAAAAAGGAACAAAACUACAAAAUAAUUGUUAUGAUUCUACUUUUUAAAAGAAAGAGAAUAGGAAAAAACAUUUAAAAUGUAUCAACAAAAGUCUCAAUACUAAUCAUUUUAAGAUUCUCAAUAAUUAUUCUUUAACUUGCUUGAUCUUAUUGGACUUUGAACUCUCUGUAGAAUAUUUGCUGAGGGCCUGCCAUGUGGAUCUUUGGGAUGCAUUAAUGAAAACCAAUAAUUCCCACCACUGCAGAGUUUAUAACCUAUUGAAAAGACACAGCUGAUAGAUUAUAGUGAAGAAGAAAUUGUAUAACCUCGUGUAAGAGGUGGUAAGUGCUGGAGGAAAAUAGUGACUGCAAAUGACAGGGGCUGGGAGUACAUGGCUGUGUGAUGGUAAGUCUUCAUCAUCAACUUGGCUUGAUUAGGAAUCACCAUGGGAACACCAGUGGGUGUUUCCAGAGAAGUUUAACAGAAAAGGAAAGACCGCCUUAAAUAUGGGCAGCAUUGUCCCUGAGCUUGAGUUCCAGACUGGUUGAGAAGGGAAAAGCUCCCUGAGCUCCAGUGUUCAUCCUCUUGGCUUUCUGACUGUGGAUGCAGUGACCAACUGCCUCAUACUCCCUGUCAUCCCCGCCAUAUGGGGCUGUACCAUUAAACUGUCAACCAAACUAAACCUUCUUUCUUUAAGUAAUUUUUGUCACCUCUCUUGUUAUCUCUCUUGUCAAAUCAAUGAGAAAAGUAAGGAGUAUGGACUUCAGCUUUAAAUUCAGGAGUCAUGGUGGAUCUCACCAGAGAGAAGGCAUUCAAGGGAAACAUUAUAGACAAGAGGAAUUAUCAUCUGAAUCUUGAGGAAAAACCUUUGUAGUGCUGUUUGUACCCCCACACUACGACCCUCUCUCUCUUCUUGGUGUGAGGGGACCUGUGCUUCUAUGGAUGCUUACUGUCCUCCAAGGGAAGCUCUCCCCUAUGCUCUGCUCCUCACGUCUGCCAGCACUGUGGGAAAUGGAGAUUCCAGACUACAUGAGAGAAGGCUGGUCUUUCUGAGUAGAGGGCUUGUGGAAGAAAGCCACGCAGCUUUGCUCCUUCCUCUCAUCCAUGGUUCAGCUUUAGUAGAGGCACACAAGGCUCCCUACAUCAUCAUCCUGUGCUGUUUCAUGGUUGUUCUUGAUAUCAGAGAUGCUCCACCUGAGUGUAUUCAUCUUUACCCAUGAUGCUCAUUGCCUCUGUCUGAAACCCUAAACUCUGAAGCAUGUAGGAAAUAGUCACACCUCACUCAUGUCACGUGGCGGCAUGGACGAUAUAGCUGGUGGAGUGUCACUGACUGUCACCACACUGCCUUCAUUGGAUACCAGGGUAAGGAGCAACAAUAUUGGUAGUUUAUGAUAAGCAAAUUUGCUGUGGGGUGAUCUUUCUGUACACUGUGAAUAUGUAUUGCUCCCAUUGGUUAAUAAUAAAAGUUGUUUGUCUUAUGGCA